rnacentral:sRNA from 1 species
UGUAUCUGAAGCCUGACGAGGAUGAGAACCUCCGGGGGCAGGAGGUUCGACCCGAGCGAAGCGAGAGAACGUUGCGUCAGCAACGGCCCGCAGGGCGAGCC